GGUGGUGGUUCAGUGGUAGAAUUUUCACCUUGCAUGUGGGAGACCCAGGUUCGAUUCCUGGCCAAUCCA
rnacentral:tRNA from 1 species